UGCAAAACAUAAGCUAAGAAAUGCAGGCACAAUCAUAUCCAUGGACAAAUACACAAGCAAAUAAAGAAACAUUCGCAUUAAAUACCAUAUAAACGUAGUUAAAUAUAGAACAAUUGCAAUACAAAAACAAAGGGGUAAAAAACAAGAAAACUGCAAAUUGGAAACUAGAAACAAGUUCAAAAAUUGAUCAAGUAAUCUUAUUUGAAGCUGCAUUAAAUGCUACACCAGGUAAAUGAGCUGAGAUGCUCACAACUGGCUCAACAUGUUAGUGGAUUUCCAAAAAUCGAAGAUAAAUCUAUCAAAGUAGUUUGCUAGGGUGAAAAUAGAUUUCAUCCAACUCCAAAAGAAAUUUGUAUUCUAUAAUUUAAACUAUUAACUGCAUCUGCAUCUACUAAUAAGAGAAAUGAUUGACCUGGAAACCGAAUCGUAAUUUAAGUAUGAAGGAACCAACCAUUGACAUCGAAAAAGAUCUGUUGAUCGUGCCUGUGCCGCAACCAAAGAAACAACCCGACUACAAUGAUGAUAAAAAAUACAGAUCCGAAGCUUAAGCCCAAUGCAAGAGCUAGCCGGUGACUUUUUGUUCCCUCAGGUUCUGAUUGAUCUGG